UUUCGGCAGGAGCCGCCAUCUUCCAGUAAUUCGCCAAAAUGACGAACACAAAGGGAAAGAGGAGAGGCACCCAAUACAUGUUCUCUAGGCCUUUUAGAAAACAUGGAGUUGUUCCUUUGGCCACAUACAUGCGAAUCUACAAGAAAGGUGAUAUUGUAGACAUCAAGGGAAUGGGUACUGUUCAAAAAGGCAUGCCCCACAAAUGUUACCAUGGCACAACUGGAAGAGUCAACAACGUUACCCAGCAUGCUGUUGGAAUUGUUGUAAAUAAACAAGUUAAGGGCAAGAUUCUUGCCAAGAGGAUUAAUGUACGUAUCGAGCACAUUAAGCACUCUAAGAGCCAAGAUAGCUUCCUGAAGUGUGUGAAGGAAAAUGAUCAGAAAAAGAAGGAAGCCAAAGAGAAAGGUACCUGGGUUCAACUGAAGCGACAGCCUGCUCCACCCAGAGAAGCACACUUUGUGAGAACCAAUGGAAAGGAGCCCGAGCUGCUGGAACCUAUUCCUUAUGAAUUCAUGGCAUAAUAGGUGCUUCACACUUUGUGAGAAGCGACAGAAAGGAGCCUGAGGUGUUGGGACUUGUUCCCUGUGAAUUCAUGGUGUAAUAGGUAUAGCACACCUGUGAGAAGCAAAGAAAGGACCUUGAGCUGCCAGAAUCUAUUCCCUAUGAAUUCAUGGUAUAGAAGACAAACCUAAUAAAAGCCGCUGGACUCUAAAAAAAAAACAAAAAACCAGCUUUGGGUUUCACCUGCUCUUUUCGGAGCUGGCAGACAGGCAGGCAGACCUGACCUGUAAACACUUGUGAGGUCAUUUGUGUUGAAACACUUCAUGAUUUUGCUACGAAGGCUAUGGGGGUUCUGUUCCAAUGUUCUGGGAAGCAGAGCUGCCUUCACAACACUCUCUUCAUGCUCCCUCCGCUUCCCCUAGCCUCAUCUCAAGCUCUCUUGGAGGAAUAAUGCAGGUGAUUCCAAGCCCCUGUGCUUGGGGGCAGUUUCCAUGGUAUUCAAAGGAUUGGGCUGUCAUUUGGGGCUUGUGAUUUCGGCAGCCAAGAUUCUGGCAGAGGUUUGUUCCAUAUCCUCUAAAUUUCAUCUUAUAACUUUCAUAGCGACAGACUCAGAAUAUAUAUCCCAUUCCAUUUCCUUUUUAGAGACAGACUUAAGUUCAUGCCAUGCCUUAUUUUUAGAAACUGAUUUUUCUCCUUUUUUUCCUUCCUUGAUAUAGCAAAAGCCUUUUGAGACAGCAUUUUACUUAUUUGUCAUUGAAACAGAAUUUACCUUUUUCAAUCACUGGCAGGUUUUAACUACAGACAUUUGAAGUUUUUUCUAAGCUCUUUACACUUUGUCCAGAAAGAGAUCUUUUUUCCUUCCGACUUCGAGCUGUGUGGAGUUUGGCCUUUGUAGUCACCGCUGUUAACUUCUACUUCUUACCUGCACUUCCGAGGAAGCCAGACCUUGUGUCUAAGGACAUGGAUUUCAAGCCUCAUAACCAGACUUUCUUCCUGCACCAAAUACCUGGAACUUAAUUUCUUUGUAUUUUUCGCAGUCUUUGUUAACGUUUCUCCAGAGCUCAGCUGCCACUCAUUCUUCCAUUUGCCCCGCUCCCUUUCAGAAACUCUCCAAGUUUUUUGGAGCCUAUUGAGACUCUGUUGAAAAUAUAAUGGCUACAGACUUUCUUCCCAGAAAAGUGCUCAUUCAUGUCUCUAUAGAUGCCUCAACCUCUAUUAAGAGACUAGCUUACACCCUAUCCCUAAA